rnacentral:misc_RNA from 1 species
AAAAAAAAAAAAGGAAGAAGAAAGGAUGGAACAAUAACACUAGUAGCAAGAGCACUCCCUGACAACACAAACAAAGGAAAAAUACAAGUGACAAGGAGGAUUUAGAUAUGGAUAAAUCCUCUACCAUUUAAGCCCCACUGAUGCAUAAACAAGUGCUACUGAUAACAAGCUACAACAAAUGAGUAAAAACCACAGAUCCCAGUGCGACAUCAUUUCAGCACAAGGGCCAAAGGUCCCAAAUGAGUGUUCUGAUUUUGCUAGUGUAACAUGGGUUGCAAGGUAACUCCUCAAAUAACAAUUCCUCUAGUGGACAAAAAAAAUUAAGAUAUCAACAAUGCACCAAUCUCCCCACCUCCACUGAUAUAGAGUAUCAUAAAUUUUGUAUAAGCAUCUCAAGGUUAAAAGAUGAUGGGCGACAAGCCAGAUAUAAAACAAAUGACAUAUAACUGAUACACCUUACAAUUUGAGCCCAGCAAUAGCACAAAAGAAAGCAUCACCAUAAAGCUACUGAUUUGUAUAAGCUAGCAGCAUUGAGGCACAAGAAGAGGGUAAGACGAAUGUGCAAUAAUACCCUCUGAACUAUCAACACCAAGUUAAAAACAAAAAUUUGAAAGUUCUUUUGUGUUUAACAAAUAGGAAUUUUAACACUUUGAGUAAGUCAAGCCUCCAACAUAUCCUCGCCAAUGGAGUUGACCCCCCAGGUACACUCAUUAACCCCAAUUAUUAGAACUUAAUCUAAACAAAAUACAGUAUGAAAUAUAUUUUUAUUAAAAGAAAAUAGAACAUAUUUCCGAAAGGGAAGCUUCCCAUCAUUAAAUUCAACAUUGUCCUCAAGGUUGACUGGAAGUCAUUGAAACCACAAUAAGAAUUCUUGAAAAUCUUGUUUUUCUCAUUAAAAUGCCUUGAAUUUCAAAUUGUUCCAAAUAAAAAUUUUGGUAACCUUGAAUACAUACAAACCAGUAGGAAUUUGAUGACUUGUUAAUAAAACAAGAAAAAUAUUAAAGAAUGCCCUGUUUGUAAAUUGAUAUAAACUGAGUAUGACAAUCAAUUCUCAAAAUAACAUGAGUUUCAACUCUUUCUUUAUUCUCAACUAUGAUUUUUUUAUCUCAAUUUUUACAUUCUCUUCUUUUAUUAUAUAUAAAAUUAGGAUGCAGAAACCCAAUCUUUAACCAUAAAAUACUUAAUAUAAAUAGAAAAUGCAGCUAAUUGCAAGAAAUAAAAAGUAAAUAUUUUUAAUUAUCACAACAAAAUAUUAAACCAAAAAUCAAAACACUGUUUUCAUGGGCUAUUUGAUU